rnacentral:rRNA from 1 species
AUACGGAGGAUCCGAGCGUUAUCCGGAUUUAUUGGGUUUAAAGGGUGCGCAGGCGGCCAUUUAAGUCAGCGGUUAAAUCGUGGGGCUCAACCCCAUUCUGCCGUUGAUACUGGGUGGCUUGAUUGCGGUCGAGGUUGGCGGAAUUCGUUGUGUAGCGGUGAAAUGCAUAGAUAUGACGAAGAACCCCGAUUGCGUAGGCAGCUGACCAGACCGCAAAUGACGCUCAUGCACGAAAGUGCGGGGAUCGAACAGGAUUAGAUACCCUGGUAGUCCGCACAGUAAACGAUGAAUACUUGUUUUCGGCGAUAUAAUGUCGGAGGCAAAGCGAAAGCGAUAAGUAUUCCACCUGGGGAGUACGCCGGCAACGGUGAAACUAAAAUGAAUUGACGGG